UAGGUCACUCUCCCUCCCAAAUAGCUCUCACCCUCUCUCUCAUCCACUGUAGCUCUCACCCUUAAUCCCCCGCACCCUCUUACCCUCAUCGAGCCUCUCAGCCUCGCUCUCAGUCUCAGUCGAUGCACUCUCAGUGGGGUGUCUCCGUCGGUUCUUCAAUUUUUCAGAUCGAAUUGGGUUUUGAUUAAGUUUUGUGAUAUUGGUGUGCAACUAUUGCAGUAAUUUCAAUUCUAUAAUUGACAUUCUCAAUUCUAUCGCCCGCGCCCCUCUCUCCACCACGGGUUCUCUCCCUUCAGUCUCUCUCGGUCGCAACUCUAUUCACUCUUCAAGCUCCAUCUCUCCCCCCCGCUCUCCCUCUCUCUCUCCUU
rnacentral:lncRNA from 1 species